rnacentral:rRNA from 1 species
GUGCCAGCAGCCGCGGUAAUACAGAGGUGGCAAGCGUUGUUCGGAAUUACUGGGCGUAAAGGGCGUGUAGGCGGCCUUCUAAGUCAGACGUGAAAUCCCCCGGCUUAACCUGGGAACUGCGUCUGAUACUGGAGGGCUAGAGUAUGGGAGAGGAAUGUAGAAUUCCAGGUGUAGCGGUGAAAUGCGUAGAUAUCUGGAGGAAUACCGGUGGCGAAGGCGGCAUUCUGGACCAUUACUGACGCUGAGACGCGAAAGCUAGGGGAGCAAACGGGAUUAGAUACCCUUGUAGUCC